UCAUGUCAUGUGAUGUUAACAAAUUUCCCACUUCAGCAGAGGUGUUAAUUUCCAUACAGGUUUAGUGGCUUGACGGUUAACAGUGAAGUAUGGAUUUGAUUUGCAGGGAUAUUUUGGCGACGGUAAUGUUAAUAGUGUUGUAAGUUAGCAGUUGACUUAAUUAACAUAACCCAGUGUGAGUCUGAUGAAAACUACUGUGUCUGCCCGGUUCAGCUCUGAGAUUUUCUCGCAUUGCACAGCGCUGUGAAAAAAUGAUCUCCGAGAUUACGUUAUGUUCUGCCUCAGUUU